UGGGGAAUUUUGGACAAUGGGCGAAAGCCUGAUCCAGCAAUGCCGCGUGUGUGAAGAAGGCCUUCGGGUUGUAAAGCACUUUUGUCCGGAAAGAAAUCCUUGGCUCUAAUACAGUCGGGGGAUGACGGUACCGGAAGAAUAAGCACCGGCUAACUACGUGCCAGCAGCCGCGGUAAUACGUAGGGUGCAAGCGUUAAUCGGAAUUACUGGGCGUAAAGCGUGCGCAGGCGGUUUGCUAAGACCGAUGUGGAACCCCCGGGCUCAACCUGGGAACUGCAUUGGUGACUGGCAGGCUAGAGUAUGGCAGAGGGGGGUAGAAUUCCACGUGUAGCAGUGAAAUGCGUAGAGAUGUGGAGGAAUACCGAUGGCGAAGGCAGCCCCCUGGGCCAAUACUGACGCUCAUGCACGAAAGCGUGGGGAGCAAACAGGAUUAGAUACCCUGGUAGUCCACGCCCUAAAACGAUGUCAACUAGUUGUUGGGGAUUCAUUUCCUUAGUAACGUAGCUAACGCGUGAAGUUGACCGCCUGGGGAGUACGGUCGCAAGAUUAAAACUCAAAGGAAUUGACGGGGUCAUAGCUGUUUCCU
rnacentral:rRNA from 1 species